UACGGAGGGUGCAAGCAUUAAUCGGAUUUAUUGGGCGUAAAGGGCGCGUAGGCGGAAGGAUAAGUCAGAUGUGAAAUCCCAGAGCUCAACUCUGGAACGGCAUUUGAAACUAUCUUUCUAGAGGGUAGGCGGAGAAAAUGGAAUUCCACAAGUAGCGGUGAAAUGCGUAGAUAUGUGGAAGAACACCAGUGGCGAAGGCGAUUUUCUAGCUUACUCCUGACGCUGGAGGCGCGAAAGGCAAGGGGAUCAAAGCAGG
rnacentral:rRNA from 1 species